rnacentral:rRNA from 1 species
AGCUGGUCUGAGAGGACGAUCAGCCACACUGGGACUGAGACACGGCCCAGACUCCUACGGGAGGCAGCAGUGGGGAAUAUUGGACAAUGGGCGCAAGCCUGAUCCAGCCAUGCCGCGUGGGUGAUGAAGGCCCUAGGGUUGUAAAGCCCUUUCGGCGGGGAAGAUAAUGACGGUACCCGCAGAAGAAGCCCCGGCUAACUUCGUGCCAGCAGCCGCGGUAAUACGAAGGGGGCUAGCGUUGUUCGGAAUUAUUGGGCGUAAAGGGCGCGUAGGCGGUGUUUUAAGUGAGAUGUGCAAUCCCCGAGCUUAACUUGGGAACUGCAUCUCAGACUGGAACGCUAGAGUACUGGAGAGGGUGGUAGAAUUCCACGUGUAGCGGUGAAAUGCGUAGAGAUGUGGAGGAAUACCAGUGGCGAAGGCGGCCACCUGGACAGUAACUGACGCUGAGGCGCGAAAGUGUGGGUAGCAAACAGGAUUAGAUACCCUGGUAGUCCACGCUGUAAACGAUGAACACUUGGUGUGGCGGGAGUUGACCCCUGCCGUGCCGUAGCUAACGCGAUAAGUGUUCCGCCUGGGGAGUACGGUCGCAAGGCUGA